rnacentral:rRNA from 1 species
UACGUAGGGGGCAAGCGUUGUCCGGAUUUAUUGGGCGUAAAGAGCGUGUAGGCGGCUUGGUAGGUCCGCUGUGAAAACUCGAGGCUCAACCUCGAGAUGUCGGCGGAAACCACUUGGCUAGAGUCCGGAAGAGGAGAGUGGAAUUCCCGGUGUAGCGGUGAAAUGCGCAGAUAUCGGGAAGAACACCUAUGGCGAAGGCAGCUCUCUGGGACGGUACUGACGCUGAGACGCGAAAGCUAGGGGAGCAAACGGG